UUGACCUCAAAUCGGGUGAGACUACCCGCUGAACUUAAGCAUAUCAAUAAGCGGAGGNNNNNNNNNNNNNAAGGAUUCCCCUAGUAACUGCGAGUGAAGCGGGAAGAGCUCAAAUUUAAAAUCUGGCGGUCUUUGGCCGUCCGAGUUGUAAUUUAGAGAAGCGUCUUCCGCGCCGGACCGUGCACAAGUCUCCUGGAAUGGAGCGUCAUAGAGGGUGAGAAUCCCGUCUUUGGCACGGACCCCCGGUGCUUCUGUGAUGCGCUCUCGACGAGUCGAGUUGUUUGGGAAUGCAGCUCCAAAUGGGUGGUGAACUCCAUCUAAAGCUAAAUAUUGGCGAGAGACCGAUAGCGAACAAGUACCGUGAGGGAAAGAUGAAAAGCACUUUGGAAAGAGAGUGAAACAGUACGUGAAAUUGUUGAAAGGGAAACGCUUGAAGUCAGUCGCGUCGACCGAGACUCAGCCUUGCCUCGGCUUGGUGUACUUCUCGGGCUGACGGGCCAGCGUCGAUUUCGUCCCUCGGAUAAUGGCAAGGGAAAGGUGGCACCUUUGCGGGUGUGUUAUAGUCUCCUGUCGCAUACGAGGGGUGGGAUCGAGGAACUCAGCACGCACCUUUGGUGUCGGGGCUUAGGCCCACGAAACGGCUUAGGACGUUGGCGUAA
rnacentral:rRNA from 1 species